CACGUAGGGCGCGAGCGUUGUCCGGAAUUAUUGGGCGUAAAGAGCUCGUAGGCGGCCUGUUGCGUCCGCUGUGAAAGCCCGGGGCUUAACCCCGGGCCUGCAGUGGAUACGGGCAGGCUAGAGGUAGGUAGGGGAGAAUGGAAUUCCCGGUGUAGCGGUGAAAUGCGCAGAUAUCGGGAGGAACACCGGUGGCGAAGGCGGUUCUCUGGGCCGUACCUGACGCUGAGGAGCGAAAGCGUGGGGAGCGAACAGG
rnacentral:rRNA from 1 species